AGGAAGCGUGCAAGCAAAGCGGCGCUCCGUGUUUUAGCCACAGUGUCGGCAGCACGGGGACCCAGGUAGUGCAAGCUUGCAGCCGCUGCGUCCGCCCGACUCGGUCGCUCCCUGGAGACCGCAUAGCUAGGGCGAAGGCGCUGGGGCUCUGCAGCCUGAGCCUGCGUAGACCCUGGGGCGACCCGUUUGCGAGAUCGCGGCAGUGACUUAAGGCACCCCCUGGCAGAAGCGCGUUUGAAUCGGUUCCCGGGCUGCUUCCCAGCCUCUGCCCAGUCUGUGCUGCGCGGCCCGCCGAGGCCGGGAGCCGCGGGGGCUGGAGCCGAGGGCACGCGUGCAGUCGGUGUCUCCGGAAAGCGCGCCCGAGAGCCGCGGGGCCUUCUCUUUUUCCUCUCAACAAGGCAGCGGAAGGCGCCAAGCGAUCCAGGCGGUUUCUCGGAGGGAUCUGAGAGGGAUAGCGGCAUCGACCGCUAUACGACCGUGUGCUUGUUUGACCCGCGUGGGAAGGGCUUGGGGAUCGCGCACUGAAGGUCUCGGAGCGCGCGGGCUACGCAGGGUUCCGCGCUUCUGUGUGUCAGGUACUGUGUCUAUCUUCCUGAAGACAAGAUGACAUUUUCAUUUCAGAUUUUGGCCUUAUAUAGUACUUGAGAAAACUAAAUAAGAAGGAAUGCAUGAAGUUUAAGGACUUUCUCAUACAGGAGAUUCUGGAAUUGAAGCUGAAACAGAUAUCUUAGACUGAAAUGAAGAAAGCAUCUCAGAAAGAUCUUGCCAACUUACUUCUGAAAUAUGGGGAGAAUCAAGCCUGGGAUAUGACCUUCAAAAUCCUCCAGAAGAUCAAUAGGAAAGAUCUCACUGAAAGGGCAACAGAAGAGAUUGCUGAUUUCAUUUCUUCAAGGUUCUCAUGAAUCUUCUGAGCAAGAUUUAAAUUCUCCAUCUCUACCUUACUCAGAGUUAAACCCUGCCCCUUGAACUGCUUCUUGGUGACAGCAGAUGCUGGCAAGGAUGUGGAGAAAGAGGAACACUCCUCCAUUGUUGGUGGGAUUGAAAGCUUGUACAACCACUCUGGAAAUCAGUCUGGCGGUUCCUCAGAAAAUUGGACAUAGAACUACUAGAGGAUCCCGCAAUACCUCUCCUGGGCAUAUAUCCAGAAGAUGUUCCAACCAGUAAGAAGGACACAUGCUCCACUAUGUUCAUA
rnacentral:lncRNA from 1 species